rnacentral:piRNA from 1 species
UCACAGCAUGGAGCGUCACGAUAGGGGAUC